UUAACUCUAUAGUUCUUAUAAGUCUGAUGGUAAUACACCCCUUAAGGUGGGUUUAGUAUGUCUCAUUUAGAGUAAGAUCUAGAAUUUAAAGUUAAAGUUUCUGGGUUCAAGUCUUGUACUUUAUGGAUCGAGGAGGAUUAAACUAGUAUGAACUUUAUGGAUCGAGGAGGAUUAAACUAGUAUGAACUUUAUGGAUAAAGGAGGAUAAAACUAGUAUGACUCCUUCCUUGAAUUUGAACAAAGUAUUGAUGAAAUAUUUGAAGUUAUAAAUGUUGGCCCAAGGGAAUAUUAUCUUGUACGUUUACCCUAGAGUUUCAUUCAUAUGCCAGAAGUAGUCAAAAGAAAAAUGAUUUCAGUCGUCACUCACAUUAUGGGACGACAUUGAUUUUGUUACAUGAUAUGUGGCCUGAUUCUUUUUUCCAUGGAGAUCAAAAGUGACAACCAACAAAUCAAAAUUCAAUACAAGUUUUGAAUGAAAAGUACGAUGUUUAAGGUACAAUGUAAGAGCAAUAUAUUCUUAAUUUGAUAUAUCUGACCGCGGGGUAUGGAGCUCCACAUCCUCCGAAUGUCUCCAAGCAAACUUUUACACUGAGCCUGAAGUAUUGCUAACUGUAAAGCCCUCUUGCUGUUCUGGAC
rnacentral:lncRNA from 1 species